ensembl:lncRNA
UAUAGGCCAUGGGCUUGCAGAGUCGGACAUGACUGAGUGACUUUCACUUUCAUGGUCUUUAGAAGCUUAUGGUUUUGAGAAGCUUAAGAGAAGGGCCGAUUCUAGAGCUUGGGGGUCCUUACUCCUAGUGCAGUGCUCUUUCCAAGUUUCUGGUGACCAAGAUGGAUCCUGCUGAGACAUCCCACUUGGUCUGGAGCUUGCAGAUGGAAUCCGAGGAAAACUGGCAGAAGCUGGUGAAGGGGGUGGCAGCCGGGAGGAGCCACCCCGUGCCCGAGGCUAGGGCCAGCGGCCAGGAGGAGCAACCCCACGCCCAAGGAGCAGUGGCUGCGCAGGCUCAGGAGGGUCUAGAGGAGCUAUCUCACAUUGAAGGUCAGGAAGAGCUGCGGUGAAGAGAUACCCUUCGUCCCAGGUAAGGAGCACCGGCUGCGCUUUGCUGGAGCAGCAGUGAAGAGAUACCCCACGUCUAAGGUAAGAGAAACCCAAGUAAGAUGGUAGGUGUUGCAAGAGGGCAUCAGAGGGC